rnacentral:tRNA from 1 species
GCUUCCUUAGCUCAGUCGGUAGAGCGCCAGUCUCAUAGCAUGAGGAAUUGCAUUCCAUAAUCUGGAGGUCGCAAGUUCGAGCCUUGCAGGGAGCA